GAGAGAGUGAAAAGAAAGACAAGAAAGAGAAAAGAGAUAUUUAGGUUUAUAACACCAUGGUUAUUAGUUUAUCUUCCAGAAGAGAGAAAUAAUAUGUCAUGCUUUACGCUACUUUACGCUACAGUAGUUGAAUGUGUUAGGUAGCUACAGUAGUUGAGUGUGUUAGGUAGCUACAGUAGUUGAAUGUGUUAGGUAGCUACAGUAGUUGAGUGUGUUAGGUAGCUACAGUAGUUGAAUGUGUUAGGUAGCUACAGUAGUUGAAUGUGUUAGGUAGCUACAGUAGUUGAAUGUGUUAGGUAGCUACAGUAGUUGAAUGUGUUAGGGAGCUACGGUAGUUGAAUGUGUUAGGUAGCUACAGUAGUUGAAUGUGUUAGGUAGCUACAGUAGUUGAAUGUGUUAGGUAGCUACAGUAGUUGAAUGUGUUAGGUAGCUACAGUAGUUGAAUGUGUUAGGUAGCUACAGUAGUUGAGUGUGUUAGGUAGCUACAGUAGUUGAGUGUGUUAGGUAGCUACAGUAGUUGAGUGUGUUAGGUAGCUACAGUAGUUGAGUGUGUUAGGUAGCUACAGUAGUUGAAUGUGUUAGGUAGCUACAGUAGUUGAGUGUGUUAGGUAGCUACAGUAGUUGAGUGUGUUAGGUAGCUACAGUAGUUGAAUGUGUUAGGUAGCUACAGUAGUUGAAUGUGUUAGGUGGCUACAGUAGUUGAAUGUGUUAGGUGGCUACAGUAGUUGAAUGUGUUAGGUGGCUACAGUAGUUGAAUGUGUUAGGUAGCUACAGUAGUUGAAUGUGUUAGGUAGCUACAGUAGUUGAAUGUGUUAGGUAGCUACAGUAGUUGAAUGUGUUAGGUAGCUACAGUAGUUGAAUGUGUUAGGUAGCUACAGUAGUUGAAUGUGUUAGGUAGCUACAGUAGUUGAAUGUGUUAGGUAGCUACAGUAGUUGAGUGUGUUAGGUAGCUACAGUAGUUGAAUGUGUUAGGUAGCUACAGUAGUUGAGUGUGUUAGGUAGCUACAGUAGUUGAGUGUGUUAGGUAGCUACAGUAGUUGAAUGUGUUAGGUAGCUACAGUAGUUGAGUGUGUUAGGUAGCUACAGUAGUUGAGUGUGUUAGGUAGCUACAGUAGUUGAAUGUGUUAGGUGGCUACAGUAGUUGAAUGUGUUAGGUGGCUACAGUAGUUGAAUGUGUUAGGUAGCUACAGUAGUUGAAUGUGUUAGGUGGCUACAGUUGUUGAAUGUGUAAGGUAGCUACAGGAGUUGAAUGUGUAAGGUAGCUACAGCAGUUGACAAAACUCCACAGACAUACAGAUUGGCACAGACACUCUGAAACGCUGAGACAUUAGCCUGAGGAGAAGUCAACAUUAAAGAAGCAACAACAACAGGAUGCAGUUAACAGUAACAGACAGACAGCUUUAGACCGUCAUGAACUUAGACAUAAGACAAACAACAGCUGCUUGAACCAAAGACAGGACACACUGACCCGUGGUGAGUUGAGCUGAGUUAAAACACAUAUUAUAGGAACUCUGUCUGCGUACACACAAUCCUAUCUGUCCUCCUGGUAUUGUAGAUCUGCCUGCAACUGUUGCUCUGUUCUAUGGCCUCCAUCUCUGUCUCUGGCAGUGACAUAGCAUUAUACCUGUCUGUCCCAGCGCACAGCUCAGCGUUGCGAGCGUACCAAACACUGACACAUGAUCAGACGACUGAAGAAGGUAACACAGAAGCAAUGUAAAAAAUGCAUUCAAGUCACAUGAGUGGGCAUGGGCAUAUGUCCAACUAAAAGAAAGAAGCUUACAGACCAGACCGACAGAUCAUUCAUGUGGGUCACAGAUAUAUGGGUAACUGUAGGCCCCUAGUAGUACUGGCUUCUCAGACAGACCUCCACAGACCAGACUGACUCUCUCUCUCCCCCCACUCGCUCUCACAGACAUGAGCGAUAGACCAAAAAAAAGCACAAAGGAGGAAGGAGGAGUGGACAUCUCUGAGGGGAGUGAGGAAGGGAAGGAGGGAGGGGUUGAUGUGGUCAAAGAAGGUUGAAAGAGGGAGGGAGGAGAGACAGGGAAGGAUGAGGCAGGU